CUGAGUUGCUCAACGGUUCAAUUCCUCAUGCCAUCCAUGCAUUUUGUCUCACAUGUGGAGGAUGUGCUGUCUGUAUUUUUUUUUUUAGAUUAAUGAAGGGGAGUUGUAAACCAACAAUGGAGAUGGACUUAGCACAUCUAUUUCCUAAGGAACCAGUCUAUACAUGGUUGUCCUUCACAGGGUCUGGAUUCAGGAGUCUGUGUCAGGAGUUUCCUGGGAGAGUUUGCCAGAGCUUCAGCAGAGCAUUGGGUUGGCCCCCAAGAGGAAGGGCUAUGUGAGCACUUAAAUGAUGAAUACCAUACAGGAUGUUUCACUGUCUGCAAGCCCCUGUGUUCUUCCUGCUCAUCCCAUCUCAACCAGAGUUAUGAGACUCCGUCGUGGGAGGACCCAUCAGAGUGUGAUCUGGACUGAAUGUGAAGAGGAGGGAAAGGAACUGCCAUGCUGUUGGGGAGUCUGGGCAGGCAGGUGGCUUCCCAGCAGCACUCCAGAAGCAGUGAGGCUGAUCAGAAGUGGCAGCUGGUAACCUGGAGCCUUUGAACAUGGGAACCCUGGGGACUCAAGAGGGAGGGAAGAAGAGUUGAAGGAAAUCAGAUCUUUCAAUUUCAGUUCUCUGAAAAGUACAACUCUCAUUGAAGAGCUCAACUCCAAUCUCUUAUUUCUCCCCUUUCCUCUCUCCCUCCUCUACUGAUCUCUGUGUCAUUUCAACCACUCCCAUAAAGUAAUUUAUUUGUGUCAAGUGGUUCUUUGUAAUAUAAGGAGUCAUAUAGUAAACAAAAUCCAUUAAAAAUAUCCUCACACUCUGUCCUAAAGUAGUAGCUGGACUUUGGGGGGCUUCUUUUGGAUCCAGCUGACUUUGUCUGGUUUGUACCGGAGAGGGGGAGAAACAGCAGGUAAAGAUACUAACAGAAAGACGGAGACAGAAUAGAGUCAGGAGGUCAAUCCAGUGAAUACUGAACACCUCAAGUUUAUUCUCCAACAUUCUUAUAUGCCCCAACCAAAAGGGGGAAAAUGAUAAAAGACUUCUUUAUCAUGUUACAAGGAAGAAACAGACUUUCUUCUUUAAUUCUCCAAACAUAUACUAACCAUGCCUUAGGCUAAAUCUCUGAUUAUUUGACCUUGAGGGUUAAAAGUAACUACACCUCAGACCAAGUCUCUUGUUAUUUAGACAAGACAUCCACGAGUAAGACCAAACAUUCUAUAGUAGCCAUGCCUUAGACCUUUAGGUCUUAUAACUUUAACUUUGGAAGAGUAAAGAUGGUUUUGAACUCUGUGAACUUAAGUCAAGAUGAAUCAAAGCCAUUUUUAUGGACUCUGACAUCCUAUAACACUACAUCCCAGCUAUUGCUUUUUGUUUGUUUGUUUUUUAUUAUUGGAUUUCUCUGUGUAACUUUGGCUAACCUGGAACACACUUUGUACACUCACUUUGAACUCAGAUAUCUGCCUUCCUCUGCCUAUUGAGUGUUAGGAUUAUAGGCAUGAGUCACCACAGUCUAGCUUGUCCCAGCUCUUUAUGGCAACUGCUA
rnacentral:lncRNA from 1 species